rnacentral:rRNA from 1 species
GGUUAAGCGACUAAGCGUACACGGUGGAUGCCCUGGCAGUCAGAGGCGAUGAAGGACGUGCUAAUCUGCGAAAAGCGUCGGUAAGGUGAUAUGAACCGUUAUAGCCGGCGAUGUCCGAAUGGGGAAACCCAGUGCAAUUCGUUGCACUAUCGUUAACUGAAUACAUAGGUUAACGAGGCGAACCGGGGGAACUGAAACAUCUAAGUACCCCGAGGAAAAGAAAUCAACCGAGAUUCCCCCAGUAGCGGCGAGCGAACGGGGAGCAGCCCAGAGUCUGAAUCAGCUUGUGUGUUAGUGGAACGGUCUGGAAAGUCCGACGGUACAGGGUGAUAGUCCCGUACACCAAAAUGCACAGGCUGUGAACUCGAAGAGUAGGGCGGGACACGUGGUAUCCUGUCUGAAUAUGGGGGGACCAUCCUCCAAGGCUAAAUACUCCUGACUGACCGAUAGUGAACCAGUACCGUGAGGGAAAGGCGAAAAGAACCCCGGCGAGGGGAGUGAAAAAGAACCUGAAACCGUGUACGUACAAGCAGUGGGAGCACCUUCGGGUGUGACUGCGUACCUUUUGUAUAAUGGGUCAGCGACUUAUAUUCUGUAGCAAGGUUAACCGUAUAGGGGAGCCGCAGGGAAACCGAGUCUUAACUGGGCGUUAAGUUGCAGGGUAUAGACCCGAAACCCGGUGAUCUAGCCAUGGGCAGGUUGAAGGUUGGGUAACACUAACUGGAGGACCGAACCGACUAAUGUUGAAAAAUUAGCGGAUGACUUGUGGCUGGGGGUGAAAGGCCAAUCAAACCGGGAGAUAGCUGGUUCUCCCCGAAAGCUAUUUAGGUAGCGCCUCGUGAACUCAUCUUCGGGGGUAGAGCACUGUUUCGGCUAGGGGGUCAUCCCGACUUACCAACCCGAUGCAAACUACGAAUACCGAAGAAUGUUAUCACGGGAGACACACGGCGGGUGCUAACGUCCGUCGUGAAGAGGGAAACAACCCAGACCGCCAGCUAAGGUCCCAAAGUCAUGGUUAAGUGGGAAACGAUGUGGGAAGGCACAGACAGCCAGGAUGUUGGCUUAGAAGCAGCCAUCAUUUAAAGAAAGCGUAAUAGCUCACUGGUCGAGUCGGCCUGCGCGGAAGAUGUAACGGGGCUAAACCAUGCACCGAAGCUGCGGCAGCGACACUAUGUGUUGUUGGGUAGGGGAGCGUUCUGUAAGCCUGCGAAGGUGACCUGUGAGGGUUGCUGGAGGUAUCAGAAGUGCGAAUGCUGACAUAAGUAACGAUAAAGCGGGUGAAAAGCCCGCUCGCCGGAAGACCAAGGGUUCCUGUCCAACGUUAAUCGGGGCAGGGUGAGUCGACCCCUAAGGCGAGGCCGAAAGGCGUAGUCGAUGGGAAACAGGUUAAUAUUCCUGUACUUGGUGUUACUGCGAAGGGGGGACGGAGAAGGCUAUGUUAGCCGGGCGACGGUUGUCCCGGUUUAAGCAUGUAGGCUGGUUAUCCAGGCAAAUCCGGAUAAUCAAGGCUGAGGUGUGAUGACGAGGCACUACGGUGCUGAAGUAACAAAUGCCCUGCUUCCAGGAAAAGCCUCUAAGCAUCAGGUAACAU